AGUGGGUUGGCCUAGUGGUAAGGCUUCUCUCUCACACAUGUCCCUCUAAAGGAAAUGAAGAGCAGAGAAAAUCGUGGGUUCGAUCCCCUCACUCACUA
rnacentral:tRNA from 1 species